rnacentral:rRNA from 1 species
AUUGAACGCUGGCGGCAGGCUUAACACAUGCAAGUCGAGCGGGGUGAUGGUGCUUGCACUAUCACUUAGCGGCGGACGGGUGAGUAAUGCUUAGGAAUCUGCCUAUUAGUGGGGGACAACGUCUCGAAAGGGAUGCUAAUACCGCAUACGUCCUACGGGAGAAAGCAGGGGAUCACUUGUGACCUUGCGCUAAUAGAUGAGCCUAAGUCGGAUUAGCUAGUUUGUGGGGUAAAGGCCUACCAAGGCGACGAUCUGUAGCGGGUCUGAGAGGAUGAUCCGCCACACUGGGACUGAGACACGGCCCAGACUCCUACGGGAGGCAGCAGUGGGGAAUAUUGGACAAUGGGGGGAACCCUGAUCCAGCCAUGCCGCGUGUGUGAAGAAGGCCUUAUGGUUGUAAAGCACUUUAAGCGAGGAGGAGGCUCUUUUGGUUAAUACCCAAGAUGAGUGGACGUUACUCGCAGAAUAAGCACCGGCUAACUCUGUGCCAGCCGCCGCAGUAA